rnacentral:rRNA from 1 species
UACGAAGGGGGCUAGCGUUGUUCGGAAUCACCGGGCGUAAAGGGCGCGUAGGCGGCCUGGCAAGUCGGGGGUGAAAGCCUGUGGCUCAACCACAGAAUGGCCUUCGAUACUGUCGGGCUCGAGACCGGAAGAGGUCAGUGGAACUGCGAGUGUAGAGGUGAAAUUCGUAGAUAUUCGCAAGAACACCAGUGGCGAAGGCGGCUGACUGGUCCGGUUCUGACGCUGAGGCGCGAAAGCGUGGGGAGCAAACAGG